rnacentral:rRNA from 1 species
AGUGAACGCUGGCGGUAGGCCUAACACAUGCAAGUCGAACGGCAGCACAGUAAGAGCUUGCUCUUACGGGUGGCGAGUGGCGGACGGGUGAGGAAUACAUCGGAAUCUACUUUUUCGUGGGGGAUAACGUAGGGAAACUUACGCUAAUACCGCAUACGACCUACGGGUGAAAGCAGGGGAUCUUCGGACCUUGCGCGAUUGAAUGAGCCGAUGUCGGUUUAGCUAGUUGGCGGGGUAAAGGCCCACCAAGGCGACGAUCCGUAGCUGGUCUGAGAGGAUGAUCAGCCACACUGGAACUGAGACACGGUCCAGACUCCUACGGGAGGCAGCAGUGGGGAAUAUUGGACAAUGGGCGCAAGCCUGAUCCAGCCAUACCGCGUGGGUGAAGAAGGCCUUCGGGUUGUAAAGCCCUUUUGUUGGGAAAGAAAAGCAGCAGGUUAAUACCCCGCUGUUCUGGCGGUACCCAAAGAAUAAGCACCGGCUAACUUCGUG